GGAGGUAGUACUCCGGUGAACCACUACCAAACACCCACCACCUCCACCUCUCCAGCCGGUUUUCCGCCCACCCCAAGAAAACUAGUCGGAGGAGGAAGAUCAAGCGACGGCGUCGUUCAGCGCGUUGACCGCGGCAGCAGCAACAAGAACACAGCGGAAACGGCGCCGUCGCCGGAUAAUAAUAAUAAUUAUAAGGCGGCUACCGCUGGAGCUCCUCCUGCAGCUCCUAGAAUAAAGAUAUUCAGACUUGCGGACUUGAAGAGCGCGACGAGGAAUUUCAGGCCGGAC
rnacentral:lncRNA from 1 species